GUGAGGAAUUUUCCGCAAUGGGCGAAAGCCUGACGGAGCAAUGCCGCGUGAAGGAUGAAGGCCUAUGGGUUGUAAACUUCUUUUCUCAGAAAAGAAUUAUGACGGUAUCUGAGGAAUAAGCAUCGGCUAACUCUGUGCCAGCAGCCGCGGUAAGACAGAGGAUGCAAGCGUUAUCCGGAAUGAUUGGGCGUAAAGCGUCUGUAGGUUGUUUAAAAAGUAUUCUGUCAAAGAUUAGGGCUUAACCCUAGAUAGGCAGAAUAAACUUUUAAGCUAGAGUUUGGUAGAGGCAGAGGGAAUUCCCGGUGUAGCGGUGAAAUGCGUAGAUAUCAGGAGGAACACCAAAGGCGAAGGCACUCUGCUGGGCCAAUACUAACACUGAGAGACGAAAGCGAGGGGAGCAAAUGGGAUUAGAAACCCCGGUAGUCC
rnacentral:rRNA from 1 species